AUGGGGGCCACAAAGAAGAUGAAAACCUCACUGGAGUCAAUUAACUCUGGAGUCCAACUCAUUAUGAAAAGUGGAAAGUAUAGGCCAAUAUCUCAGAUGAACAUAGAUGCAAAGAGCCUCAACCAAAUACUAGCAAACUGAACACAACAACAUAUUAAAAAUAUGCUAAGGUACAAGCCAACUCUGAAGAUGAUCAGACAAGGCAAAGCAAAAUUCAUCAUCCUUUUUAGAAACUGCCUGACUUUGAAGAAAUCUGAAUUAGAGUACUAAGUAUUGUUGGCCAAAACUGCUAUCCACCACUACAGUGGCAAUAACACUGAAUUGGGUACAGCAUGUGAAAUAUACUACAUACAAUGCAUACUGGCUAUCAUUAAUCCGGGUGAUUCUGAUAUCAUUAGAAGCAUGCCAGAAUAGUCUGGUGAAAAGUAA
rnacentral:lncRNA from 1 species